rnacentral:rRNA from 1 species
AGCUGCGGCAGCGACGCUUAUGCGUUGUUGGGUAGGGGAGCGUUCUGUAAGCCUGUGAAGGUGUGCUGUGAGGCAUGCUGGAGGUAUCAGAAGUGCGAAUGCUGAC